rnacentral:rRNA from 1 species
GACAGAGGCCUCGAGCGUUAGGCGGAAUCACUGGGCUUAAAGCGUGUGUAGGCGGAUCGUUAAGUGUCUUGUGAAAUCCCACGGCUCACCCGUGGAACCGCUGGGCAUACUGGCGAUCUUGGGCCAUUCAGGGGCAACUGGAACAAGCGGUGGAGCGGUGAAAUGCGUAGAUAUCGCUUGGAACGCCGACGGUGAAAACAGGUUGCUGGGAAUGUGCCGACGCUGAGACACGAAAGCCAGGGGAGCAAACGGG